rnacentral:rRNA from 1 species
CGAUCGUUGAUCCGCGGAUGUCCGAAUGGGAAACCACCCCUUUGGGGUAUCUCGUACUGAAUUCAUAGGUGCGAGAGGCGAACCAGGGAACUGAAACAUCUCAGUACCUGGAGGAAAAGACAUCAACAGAGAUUCCGCUAGUAGUGGCGAGCGAACGCGGAGCAGGCCAGUGGUCUGUGCAAGAGAAGCCGAACAAUCUGGAAAGGUUGGCCGCAGUGGGUGAUAGCCCCGUAGGCGUAGUGCUUGCAUGGAUCCUUGAGUAGGGCGGGGCACGUGAAACCCUGUCUGAACAUGGGGGGACCACCCUCCAAGCCUAAAUACUCCUUGGCGACCGAUAGUGCACAAGUACCGUGAGGGAAAGGUGAAAAGCACCCCGACGAGGGGAGUGAAAGAGACCUGAAACCGGAUGCUUACAAGCAGUCGGAGCUCGCAAGAGUGACGGCGUACCUUUUGUAUAAUGGGUCCGCGAGUUCGUGUUGGCAGCAAGCUUAAGCCGAGAGGUGUAGGCGCAGCGAAAGCGAG